GACGAACGCUGGCGGCGUGCCUAAUACAUGCAAGUCGAACGCACUCUCGUUUAGAUUGAAGGAGCUUGCUCCUGAUUGAUAAACAUUUGAGUGAGUGGCGGACGGGUGAGUAACACGUGGGUAACCUGCCCUAAAGUGGGGGAUAACAUUUGGAAACAGAUGCUAAUACCGCAUAAAACCUAACACCGCAUGGUGUAGGGUUGAAAGAUGGUUUCGGCUAUCACUUUAGGAUGGACCCGCGGUGCAUUAGUUAGUUGGUGAGGUAAAGGCUCACCAAGACCGUGAUGCAUAGCCGACCUGAGAGGGUAAUCGGCCACACUGGGACUGAGACACGGCCCAGACUCCUACGGGAGGCAGCAGUAGGGAAUCUUCCACAAUGGACGAAAGUCUGAUGGGGCAACGCCGCGUGAGUGAAGAAGGUUUUCGGAUCGUAAAACUCUGUUGUUGGAGAAGAAUGUAUCUGAUAGUAACUGAUCAGGUAGUGACGGUAUCC
rnacentral:rRNA from 1 species